rnacentral:lncRNA from 1 species
GGGCUUUUGGGCGUGAGUCCCCUUGGGCAUUGGGUUUCAAGAAAGGGAAGAGAGAAGGAUUCUCUCCUCUUCUAGGUUUUCUUCCUCCUGUUCUUUCUCUUCUUCUUCUCCUUGUUCUCUGAGAGGGCCUUAGAGAGUUGAAGAGGGUCUUCAAUCAGCCAUCAAAAAGGUAUCUUUUAUAAGGAAACUACUAGCACCCUGGGGAAGACAAAGGCUUCAGAUUGGAUCGAAGAUGUCAUGUGGAUAUCCG